rnacentral:rRNA from 1 species
GAGAGUUUGAUCCUGGCUCAGAUUGAACGCUGGCGGCAGGCCUAACACAUGCAAGUCGAGCGGUAGAGAGAAGCUUGCUUCUCUUGAGAGCGGCGGACGGGUGAGUAAUGCCUAGGAAUCUGCCUGGUAGUGGGGGAUAACGUUCGGAAACGGACGCUAAUACCGCAUACGUCCUACGGGAGAAAGCAGGGGACCUUCGGGCCUUGCGCUAUCAGAUGAGCCUAGGUCGGAUUAGCUAGUUGGUGGGGUAAUGGCUCACCAAGGCGACGAUCCGUAACUGGUCUGAGAGGAUGAUCAGUCACACUGGAACUGAGACACGGUCCAGACUCCUACGGGAGGCAGCAGUGGGGAAUAUUGGACAAUGGGCGAAAGCCUGAUCCAGCCAUGCCGCGUGUGUGAAGAAGGUCUUCGGAUUGUAAAGCACUUUAAGUUGGGAGGAAGGGCAGUAAAUUAAUACUUUACUGUUUUGACGUUACCGACAGAAUAAGCACCGGCUAACUCUGUGCCAGCAGCCGCGGUAAUACAGAGGGUGCAAGCGUUAAUCGGAAUUACUGGGCGUAAAGCGCGCGUAGGUGGUUAGUUAAGUUGGAUGUGAAAUCCCCGGGCUCAACCUGGGAACUGCAUUCAAAACUGACUGACUAGAGUAUGGUAGAGGGUGGUGGAAUUUCCUGUGUAGCGGUGAAAUGCGUAGAUAUAGGAAGGAACACCAGUGGCGAAGGCGACCACCUGGACUGAUACUGACACUGAGGUGCGAAAGCGUGGGGAGCAAACAGGAUUAGAUACCCUGGUAGUCCACGCCGUAAACGAUGUCAACUAGCCGUUGGGAGCCUUGAGCUCUUAGUGGCGCAGCUAACGCAUUAAGUUGACCGCCUGGGGAGUACGGCCGCAAGGUUAAAACUCAAAUGAAUUGACGGGGGCCCGCACAAGCGGUGGANCAUGUGGUUUAAUUCGAAGCACCGCGAAGANCNUUACCAGGCCUNGACAUCCA